rnacentral:lncRNA from 1 species
UGCUGGGCUGCUGGCACCGGUCCGCUGGGCGCUGGGAUUUGGGCUCCGAUUGGGCCUACUGCUUCGGCCUGCUACAGAUUUUUCUCUUUUUUUGACAGAUUUAUUGGGCUUGGGCUGCUAAAGGUAUUGGGCUGCCACUUUUAUUUUUUAUUAUUCCCUUUUUUGUUUUCUUUUUCUUUCUUUUUCUCUUUUUUUUUUCUUUUUCCCUUCUUCUUCUUCCCUUUUCUUUUUUCUGUCUUUCAAAUCCCAGCCACCGCUUCUCCACCGUCGUCCACUGCCGCCAUCGACUCCUCUUUGCACUCGGUGGCCGACGAUUCAAAGGUAAAUGCUUUUCCCUCCUCAAAACUUGAUUCUUGGCUGCUACUUUUUGUUGAUUUUGAUCUUUUUUUUUU